GAGAAUAAAAGUUGAAUUGAGAAAAGAUUCAAAAACACAAAUAAAGUCCAUUAAAAUAGUCAAUACAAAUAACUUUAUCUAAGAUUUAAUUAAAUACUAUGCAAGAAUAUUAAAAAAAACCAAAUUUAUUUCAAUUCAAAUAAGCAUAAAUUCAGCCUAAUUGAAGAAAAAUAUAAAGACCUAAAAUUAAAGGAGAAACUAAAAAAUACCCAUCUGUCGAUAUCAGCAUAACAUUCAUUCUUCUUUUUCUUUAUCUCAUAAUCCUAUGAAUUGCCAUUAAAACAAACCAAGUAAGAAAAAAACACAAUGAAAGGAAAAAAAUCAAAUUAAAAGGAAAAAAAAUUAGGUGUACUAUUAUGAAUUGCAAUGGACUAUCCGAAAUCCGAUCUAGCCCAAAUCCCCUUUCCCAACUGCUAUUCGAAUCUCGAUCUCUGGAAUCGAAAGCAAGACCAACGAGCCCUCGGUCAAGCGAAAGACUUACGACUUUGAAUUGAGGAUCGCUAGAAUCCGAAGCUCUUUCAAGUCCUUGGGCACAAAGGAACUAAACACUACACUAUUCUUUCUAUCUCUUUAGUUCGAAUGCUUUGAUGCCUUUAAUAGAGAGUGCAAUUCCAGCAGAAUCCUAAUCAAACUAUUGCUCGUACCAAAUCACUGCUUAAACCCUUGGUGAAACUGGUGGGAUGAAAAGGCGUCGCUUGGUGAGAUGAAAGAGACAGGAAGAAAUAGUGAAAGAAGAGAAGGAAGAAGAAAAUAAAAUUUUAAGGUUUUUUAGGUUAAGGGUAAAAAAUAAUUUUAUAAAUGAAAUAAUAAAAA
rnacentral:lncRNA from 1 species